CCUACGGGAGACAGCAGUGAGGAAUAUUGGUCAAUGGCCGGAAGGCUGAACCAGCCAUGCCGCGUGAAGGUCAGCGCCCUAUGGGCGUUAAACUUCUUUUGUGCGGGAGCAAUAAUGGUCACGUGUGGCCAGACGAGAGUACCGUACGAAUAAGCAUCGGCUAACUCCGUGCCAGCAGCCGCGGUAAUACGGGGGAUGCAAGCGUUAUCCGGAUUUUUGGGGUUUAAAGGGUGCGUAGGCUGUGAGGUAAGUCAGCGGUGAAAUGCCCCCGCUCAACGGGGUGAAGUGCCAUUGAUACUGGCUUGCUGGAAUGCGGAUGCCGUGGGAGGAAUGUGUGGUGUAGCGGUGAAAUGCAUAGAUAUCACACAGAACACCGAUUGCGAAGGCAUCUCACGAAUCCGCGAUUGACGCUGAUGCACGAAAGCGUGGGUAUCAAACAGGAUUAGAUACCCGGGUAGUC
rnacentral:rRNA from 1 species